CCUACGGGAGGCAGCAGUCGAGAAUCAUUCACAAUGGGGGAAACCCUGAUGGUGCGACGCCGCGUGGGGGAAUGAAGGUCUUCGGAUUGUAAACCCCUGUCAUGUGGGAGCAAAUUAAAAAGAUAGUACCACAAGAGGAAGAGACGGCUAACUCUGUGCCAGCAGCCGCGGUAAUACAGAGGGCGCAAGCGUUGUUCGGAAGCACUGGGCGUAAGGCGUGCGUAGGCUGUUUCGUAAGUCGUGUGUGAAAGGCGCGGGCUCAACCCGCGGACGGCACAUGAUACUGCGAGACUAGAGUAAUGGAGGGGGAACCGGAAUUCUCGGUGUAGCAGUGAAAUGCGUAGAUAUCGAGAGGAACACUCGUGGCGAAGGCGGGUUCCUGGACAUUAACUGACGCUGAGGCACGAAGGCCAGGGGAGCGAAAGGGAUUAGAUACCCGAGUAGUC
rnacentral:rRNA from 1 species